AGGGACUUCAAGGUCAUUUAGGAAACAGGGGACAGGAUGGACCUCUUGGCGCCCGGGGACCCAUUGGUGCAAAUGGAAUGAAUGGGGACUCUGGACCUCCAGGACCAAAAGGGUUGCCUGGUAAAACAGGAGCUCCUGGCCUCCAAG